GAUCCUGGCUCAGGAUGAACGCUAGCUACAGGCUUAACACAUGCAAGUCGAGGGGCAGCAUGGUCUUAGCUUGUUAAGGCCGAUGGCGACCGGCGCACGGGUGAGUAACACGUAUCCAACCUGCCGUCUACUCUUGGACAGCCUUCUGAAAGGAAGAUUAAUACAAGAUGGCAUCAUGAGUUCACAUGCUCACAUGAUUAAAGGUAUUCCGGUAGACGAUGGGG
rnacentral:rRNA from 1 species